UACGGAGGAUCCGAGCGUUAUCCGGAUUUAUUGGGUUUAAAGGGUGCGUAGGCUGUUCGGUAAGUUAGAGGUGAAAUCUCGACGCUCAACGUCGAAACUGCCUCUGAUACUGCUGGGCUAGAGUAUAGUUGCUGUGGGCGGAAUGAGUAGUGUAGCGGUGAAAUGCUUAGAUAUUACUCAGAACACCGAUUGCGAAGGCAGCUCACAAAGCUAUUACUGACGCUGAUGCACGAAAGCGUGGGGAGCGAACAGG
rnacentral:rRNA from 1 species